rnacentral:rRNA from 1 species
CACGUAGUUAGCCGGGGCUUCUUAGUCAGGUACCGUCAUUUUCUUCCCUGCUGAUAGAGCUUUACGUACCGAGAUACUUCUUCACUCACGCGGCGUCGCUGCAUCAGGGUUUCCCCCAUUGUGCAAUAUUCCCCACUGCUGCCUCCCGUAGGAGUUUGGGCCGUGUCUCAGUCCCAAUGUGGCCGUCCACCCUCUCAAGCCGGCUACUGAUCGCUGCCUUGGUGGGCCGUUACCCCGCAACUAGCUAAUCAGACGCGGAUCCAUCGUAUACCACCGGAGUUUUUCACACUGCCCCAUGCGGAGCCGUGCGCUUAUGCGGUAUUAGCACCUAUUUCCAAGUGUUACUCCCCCGGUAUACGGCAGGUUAUCCACGCGUUACUCACCCGUCCGCCACUACUCAUAAAUCACUAGGUUUCAAUAUGAGUCCGUUCGACUUGCAUGUGUUAAGCACGCCGCCAGCGUUCAUCCGUGAGCCAGGACUACAAAACCUCGU